GAACCUGAGACGCCGGGCGCGGCGGCCGCUCGGUCCUCCGCUGCCACCUCCGCUGCCACCCACGGGCCCGAGGUCGCUCCCCACGGUGUGCGGAUUCGCCCCAACCUCCUCCCCGGCCCAGACUUUUCCCAAGAAUAUGCCAGAGCUCCCGUCUUCACAGCCAGGGGAGGAAUUUCUGGCUGGUAGCCCCAGCCCCUCUCCCCAGGCCACAUGUGGGAGACAUCUUGACUUUCUCCUUUUCAUCUCUCACAUCAAGUUUGUCACCAAGGCGGGAAAUGAAACUAGUCAUUGGAAGGGUGGUUUAAGAAGUGCUUGGAGGGAACAAAGAAGGAGGAAUCAUGUUCUGUUUAGGACGGAUCCAGGAAAGAAAGAGCUGCUGCUGGAGCACUUAACAAGGAAUGAUAACCCAGAGGUCACUCCAACAGUUCUUGCAGAAAUCACUGGACAAGCCCCAAACACCUCAGGAUGGGCAAAGAUUCCUAUAGCUCAUGAUUUGUAUAAACGGUGAGUGAGAAAAAGAAAGAAAUCAGUUGGAAGUCACCUGUCAGUGGUUCCCAAAAGAACACCUCAACUGCUCCUCACUGAAGACAAUCCAGAGCCCAUCUGGCAUUGCCUUCCACAGUGACUUCUCUUAGACCAAAGAUCUGAGAACUCAAAGGGCAAGGAGUCUGCCUCAUACUCAGACCAACAUACAAAUAUCCAAUUAUGGAACAGGAAUCGGGUAACUUCAAUCAACAAUCCCCUUGGGAAAAGGGAAGACUGAGAGACCCACAGCAGUCAUGUUCUACAGAUACACUGGUGUUGCGAUGCUGAAACUCCAUGGGCAGACAGUACAAAGGAUGCCUAUCUUGGGCAGGAACUCUCUCACCCACUGUUCUUUGUCAUCCUUGGCAUCACUCUCUGAGGGGCUUCCCCCUGGACCCUUACUCUCCUUGGCUGCAUCUAAGGAGGGAGUUGAGAAUGCUCUCCUUACGGGUUGAACAAUUUCCUGCCAGAGGUUGUUUCAAGGCUAAGCUAACAGACUCAUGCUUUUUACACAGGCUUGUGGUUUUCUUACAAUACAGUUUCCUCCACAAUUUGGGAAGCCUCUAAUCUAUUUGCAUCCAGGCCGUUUCAUUUGCCAAUAUCCACACUCAACGUACCCUUUGUAAGACAGAGUUUUCAAAUGUGCUUUCUUCUUACCCAAGUGAUAGUGAUUUCUGGCUAGACCAGAGGAUCAAAACACCUUUACCAGCUAUUGUCCAUGGUUCACUUGAAUCCACUGGGAUGUGUUCUUGGGACUUUGUCACUCCAAGUCUUUUAAAUUCCUAUCUCUUACUAUUUUUUGAGAAUGAGAAGCAGUCAACUUUUCUAACUCUGCAGGCCUCAGUAUUCUGGAUUUUGUCUAUUCCAUUUCAUUUCUACUG